rnacentral:rRNA from 1 species
UACGAAGGGGCUAGCGUUGCUCGGAAUCACUGGGCGUAAAGGGUGCGUAGGCGGGUCUUUAAGUCAGGGUGAAAUCCUGGAGCUCAACUCCAGAACUGCCUUUGAUACUGAAGAUCUUGAGUUCGGAGAGGUGAGUGGAACUGCGAGUGUAGAGGUGAAAUUCGUAGAUAGUUCGCAAGAACACCAGUGGCGAAGGCGGCUCACUGGCCCGAUACUGACGCUGAGGCACGAAAGCGUGGGGAGCAACAGG